AAGUAGCCAGACCGAGGCCAAUAGCCAGACCAUGACUGAGACUGCCACAUUGAAAUAAUGAGUCAUCACACUCACAAUCUAGGUCCUGAACACCAGCAGCGCAUCUGGUAGUUGUCUUUAUUUCGACCUCGGUCAUCAAUACCAGCUGCCUCUGGUAGUCGACUUGGGUCAUCGCACCAGCAGCCUCUGGCAGUCAACAUGGGUCAUCAACACCAGCAGCCUCUGGUAGUCAACUUGGCCUUGGGUUAUCAACACCAGCAGCCUCUGGUAGUCAACAUGGGUCAUCAACACCAGCAGCCUCUGGCAGUUAACAUGGGUCAUCAACACCAGCAGCCUCUGGCAGUCAACUUGGCCUUGGGUUAUCAACACCAGCAGCCUCUGGUAGUCAACUUGGGUCAUCAACACCAGCAGCCGCUGGUAGUCAACUUGGAUCAUCAACACCAGUAGUCUCUCGUAGUCGACUUCCUACCACUCAAAAUAUCCCUGGACUGCAGCCGAGUUCGCCAACCGCCACUGCUACUGAAGUGCUGCAUGCAUCGAAUGCAUCCACUGUGAGUGUGAGUG